GGGUUAAUUGAAUAAAUUGAAAGACAAUGAGAAGGGAACUCUCCGACUCGGAAGCAAUCCCGAUUCAACUAGGCUUGCACGAGGUGGCGGGUGAUCGGAAGAAAGGUGAAUUCGAACUACGAGUUCAAAGGAAAGCGGUUGAGAUUCCUCGUCAGAUCCAGUUGCGAAGAACAAAUUCAUCUAAUGCUGCGCUUUAGGUUUGGUUGAUGAAUCGAACCAUGGAGGAGGAAGGUUCUUCGGUCUCCAAACAAGUGGAAGUGGCAGUCUGCAUGGCCAUGUCUCUGUUCUUCGUCGCCGUUGUCCAUGCUCCUGCUUUGAUACUUCCGUCUAUCACCUCCUCCUUCUCUUCAAGUUUACACGAUUCGACGAUGUCUGUUCGCCAUCAUUUUCAGGGCCAUCUCAGUCGUUGUCUGCGCUCUAAUCCUUCCUGUUUCCAUCACAAUGCUGACUUUCCCCAUCUCAUUUUGGUUCAUGCUAAAUAAGGAAAAUGGAGUUUUCACUGUUAUUAGCAGCUUGCGGUAUCCGAGCAGAUCAUAUUCCUGCAUAUUGGAAAGGUGAAAUGAAUCCUAAACCUGCAUCCUGAAUUGCAAUUUUAUCUAUGGAGUAGUGGCAAGCCGUGUUCUUUCCUCUUUCAUUGACUUCUUUAAUGUAGGUUGGAUCAAUGGUUUUAAAGUCUUUGUUAUUGGUGGAUUCAUGGAGAGAGCAUAUGAAUCACAGAGAAGGCUCCCUUUCGGACUGUGCUGAAUUUUUUUGGACAAGAGUUCUUGAUCGGGGACUAUUAACAGUCUCAAAUCUUUUAGCUUGGAGAAAUUGUGUUGUGGCUCCACUAACUGAGGAGUUGGUGUUUAGAGCAUGCAUGAUACCAGUUCUUCUAUCUGGGGGGAUUUAACCAACCACUGUGAUAUUUCUCUGCUCCAUUCUUUUCAGUCUGGGCAAUCUUCUUGACCCGUCAGUUGCUCAUGUUUUUUGCAACCUUAUGGGAUUGCCUGCUUUUUUUUCUUUCUCAAAGAAGAGGAGCAUGAGGAUGAAGCUUUUCCCGAUCUCAAGAAACUCGAUCAGAGGAAAGCAAGGAUAAUGAAUGAAAGCAAUGGACAAAAAAAUGAAGGAAGAAGAAGAAGAAGAAGAAGAAGAAAGAAUUGGUUUGAAAUACAAUUGGAAGAAGGAAAGAGAAGGGUAGGGGCCAGCCAGCCUCAAGCCCUCUCAUGGGUUAUGAGUAUCUUAGUGUGAAACAUCAUGGGGUUUCACAGAUGCUCUUUUGGAAUGGCUCCAUAUGAUUCAAGGGCAUUUUCGUCUUUUCAUCCCCCUCGUGGAGCUCGUUCUUCCUUCUAUGUGUUGGCAUCAAUGCAAUCAUGGAGCUCAAAACAAUUGGGUUAGUGUUGCUCAAAUUACCUUAUUGCCCCUUUAAAGCUUUUCCUCUUCCAAAUUUUACCCUAUUUGGCUUUUGAAGAGUUCAAUUUGAUCCUCUUUAACUCAUUUUAAUGAUGAAUGGUUAUUGAGUGGUA